UUCAGCCUUGCCCUUCAGCCCAGCAGAUUUCCAGAUUGGGCUCCACUCUGCCCCUGCCUGGCUGUGUAGCCCGGAGUGGCUGCUCACUAUCUCUAAGCUUAGUAAGGUGCUAACCCACCAUUCCCCAACCUCUUUCCACACCAGGGACCACUAUCCUGAGUUGCACUAUGUGCUCUUGCAAUAGCCUCUAAACUUGUGUCCUGAGACUCAGAGCAUUGUGGAAGAGAAAAGUUGGCUCUAUUUGAAUAGAACAAUAGAAGCUCCUAUUGUCCCCUGUGACAUGUAGACCUGUUUUUAACCUCUGCUGGAUGAGAAUGUCAAGAUUGAGAGAUUCGGCCUUGCGUGAGGAGAUGGCUCAGCUGGCAAAGUACCUGCUGCACAAGCAUAAGGACCUGAACAUGGAUGUACCUUCAUUAAAAAAAAAAAUAGAAAGCUGGGAGUGAUGGCAUGUACCCAGUACCGGGAGGCAGGAGGUAAAGCAAUAAAAAUUAUUGUCAAGGGUGUUAUUCCAAUUUUUAACGACUAAUAGAGUGAUGCUGUUUGAUGGAGGAUUCGAAACAGAAUGUACUUCCCA